UUUAUACCGAGUCGACGUCAUCCUGGAUUUAGUUCCUGGUAAUAUGCAGAUGACAAACAGAACCAGAUUUGGCCCUUUCUGUUCCUUUGGGUGGUGGGGCUUUUGGAAGGGGGAAGGGGGAGAGGUGCCAAGGGGAGGGGGUUACGGGGCCUGAAAAGAGAUUGUGGAUUGAGAAUUAAUGAAAUUAACCUAAUCUUUUCCAUUCAGCCUCCCCGCCGCGGGCCGGGGGAGCCGGGAGGGCGUCCUAAUUGCCCCGGUUAAUCUCAUUAAUUCCACUGUGCGGCCGCAGUUAACAACUCCCUCCUCCCGACCUCUCCGCCCCCACCCUUUUCCCUCAGAUUCGGUCCUAUUAUUGGGUGCGAUUUCCUCUGCGCGAAGCUCAGAUUCAUUGUGGCCGAUUUUAUUUUGGGGUUACUUUUCUGUUUUCUCCUUUCCGAAUUUGUUUUGUUUUAGAAAAUGUGAGGGGCUGCGUCCUACCACAAGCCGGAUUGAAAAUCCCGCUCUUCUUCCGGGCCCCAAGGCACCCACCGCCUAAUUUCACCUUUAUUUUCUUUCAUCUUGAGAUUCUCUCCCUAACGGCGUUGGUUAACCCCCUCCAACCCUUUUGUUUUGCAAAGGCCAACAUUUGUAAAGGUAAAAAACGAUGGAAGUGGUGCAUCGUAUUUCUUUAAAAUAUACACAGUUUUGCAGUCACUUUGGGUCCGAAAACUAUCAUAGCAGUCGCCUUACACAGCGGAAACCAAAUUCAGCCACUAUUUAAAACUGGCCAACAAAAGUAGCGCUCUGAAGCGAUGCUUCCAGCGGCUUCCUGCGUGGAUGUCGGAUCCUCGGCGCGGCGCGGCCCUCCCGCCCGCGGGAGCCUCUGGAGACGCAUCCAGCGCAGGCGACCGAGCGCCCUGCGAGAAGGUAGGCGACGUUGCGCGCGGAACGAAAACUGGCCCCGAGGUCCUACGGAACCGCCGCAAGCCCCAGUCUUGCAGCGCCGUCUUUUCUCGGUCCUUCGCGCAGUUAACUAACAGCCGUCCCCGCAGGGUUGUCUGAAGUCGCCGCACUAAGGCUAAGGCAAUUGAUGGAAGACAAUUAGAGGCUACAACUUCAUCAGGAACUCUGGCUGCAUUUGUGUUUGUGGCUGGGCGCGCGCAGCGGUGGCGCGUGAAUGGAUCUUUUGAGACCUUUCCUGAGCCUGGCAGAGGCAGAAGCGCCACGGGAAACCGGAGCAGCGUUCUUGUCGGUUUCUGCAAAGAUGCUCAGACCAGCGCGCCGAGGAGACUUCACCGCAGAUCCAAAAGAGCGCCUCGGAGUUUUAAAAUCAGGCAACCUUCCUCACUCACGCCACUCUGCCUCUUUCCACUUGGUACAUUUUUAAAAAGAGAGAUUUAGCAAACCCCUAGACGUCUCCCCGUGUUUUCCUGUAGUUCCCCCACUGAACCACCGACUCCUGGAAGGAGGAGCACGGUAUGUCGAGUCGGAGUUCUAGACCAAACUUUGCCAUUUUGCAAAUCAUCCCUCCUCUUUAGGCCUUAGUUGAUUGAAUCAACGCCAACGUUCAUUGUGUCCCUUACAACCCUAACAUUUAAUGAGGCUGCGUUAAUUGUCACCAGUUCGACAAGGAGAGUGUGGGUGGACUUAGGGGCAUUUUUCAGCUGUUUCCUUGGGACAAAGGAGUGUGCUGUCCCCAACCCCACCCGAGGGCAGGGUCUGGGUAUCAGCUGGACCCAAGAUAAGGAAAAGUGAUUGGAAAGUUCUGUUCUCCUGCAGAGGGGACUUUCCGGGAAGAGGUCACAGGAACCUCGAGACCACCCUACUCCAAUUAUUCAACCAGCUCUCUGGGAGCUCACCCCCGGCGCGGUAGGGCCUCCCCCUCCAUUUUGUCCUUCAAUCUGCUGGAGCUCCACUGUGUCCGCGGGGAGGCAGGAGCCAGGAAGGCAAGUCAGCGGCGCCACCACCUCUUCCUCUGGCCGAAACCCACAAGUGUCCGCAAUGCGCUAAACAAACAAUCAGCUGCCUUGCGUCGCCCGGUGCAAUUGGAAUAACAAAUGCGACGCACGUAAAUUGCCCACCUCGUGUUGCUACGCGAUUGUUUGUUUGCCCCGCAUGCACCGCUCAGCAUGGGAGGACCGCAACCGGCAGAUGCGGCUGGUGAGCGCUUAGGUCGGAGAUGCAGUAAACACGCCGCUGAUUUUCCCUAUUAUCACCCAAACACGAUUUCACACAAAGCAAUCACCACGCAGAAGUCUAUGAAAAUGUGUUUGUUGAAGAGUCAGUCGCCCUGGUAAUAGCCCUCAUUUUUAAGAUAUUAAAGAAUAGAUCAGCGGAUUCUGCAUGCAUAAGGUAUAUCCGCGGUUCCGCAUCUAUCAAGGCGCUUUUGCGCAGCAGUCAUUGCUAAAUUGAUUCAUAGAGCGUAGAUUAAAUUGCUUCUCUGAUUUAAAACAGAAUGUCCAAAUUUGGAGUGUGCGUCUGGAUAUCUCAUCCCGCCCCAAGAUACCUUCAUCAUGGAGAAAACUGUCGCCCACUACACACACACAUACACACACUCGCACCCAUGGCUGUUAAAAAUAAAUGCAUAUGCGGCCCCAACUUCUUACGGCUUCAGGAAAUUUCUUUUCUUAAUUCUUUCAGCCUCUUGCCCGGUCAGAGCAGAGUUCAUAAUCUGAUGAGUUUAAGUAAGGUUUUUCGUGGCAUGCAAAAAGUUGGCCUGCCCUUUUCGAAGGUACGGAGCCCCCUAGCAGGGCGAGUCAGCGGGUCAGAGGAAUUAGGGACAAUACACAGAGCCGGCUGCAGCCUCUGCACGGCGUCCAGACCGCGCACAGUUUGCACAGAGCAGAUCGGCGUUAUUGUUUGUAUUUGGGCUUAAAAAGAAAUCCAGUGCCUCAAAGCUAGUGCUCAAUACCCGCUCCAUGGCCCUGUUGCUUCCUCGAGGACACCUUCAGUAGCCUCGGGGUGUUUCCCGUGUGAGAUUAGGUGGGUGGAGUACAGCACCCGGCACAAAUGCCACCCCACUAAGGUGCAGCACGCACAAGGGCGCCCGCAUUCCGCGGGACGUGGGGACAAUUACUACGAACUGACUUUUGCUCAAACUUUUGCAACAUUCCAAAUAAACACACUGAGCCCCUGAGAACGAAAUAAUCAAGGUGUUAGGAAAAGUCAGCAUAACACUGGGGGAAAAGAAGAGGGUGUCGAAAAAUGACGUGUUCCCAAAGCGUCAGAAAAAAACAGCUCCGGGUUUCCAGGGUUGCAGGAAUCGGCUUUCCGCUGAGCUAUUUACAAAAGUUUGUUUCAAAGCGAUUGCACCGUUGCUUUUGCAAAUCACAGAAUGCAAAUGACGAUAAUUUGUUCU